rnacentral:rRNA from 1 species
UGGGGAAUAUUGCACAAUGGGCGCAAGCCUGAUGCAGCCAUGCCGCGUGUGUGAAGAAGGCCUUCGGGUUGUAAAGCACUUUCAGCGGGGAGGAAGGCGAUAAGGUUAAUAACCUCAUCGACUGACGUUACCCGCAGAAGAAGCACCGGCUAACUCCGUGCCAGCAGCCGCGGUAAUACGGAGGGUGCAAGCGUUAAUCGGAAUUACUGGGCGUAAAGCGCACGCAGGCGGUCUGUCAAGUCGGAUGUGAAGUCCCCGGGCUCAACCUGGGAACUGCAUUCGAAACUGGCAGGCUAGAGGCUUGUAGAGGGGGGUAGAAUUCCAGGUGUAGCGGUGAAAUGCGUAGAGGUCUGGAGGAAUACCGGUGGCGAAGGCGGCCCCCUGGACAAAGACUGACGCUCAGGUGCGAAAGCGUGGGGAGCAAACAGG